UUACCCGCAAAACAAAUUUUAAUUUUAUUCUUUCUUUCCUUCAUCCAACAACAACAGAGUCACCCACUACGUUCUCUAAAAUUCACUCCCAAACCCUAAACCUCACAACACAUAGAGGUUCGCUUUUGGUCAGUUUCUCCGCCAUCGCAGUAGCACUCACAGCUUCACUAGGAAGUAGCUAGUCCAUUUGAUUACUGUGAUAUUGUCACCUCAACCACUCACAAAAGUCUCUGAGGUCCAAGGGGAGGUAUAUCUUUUAUAGAAGGGGGGCAAAACCAAGGAAAUUUCAGAUUGGUGAUUGAUGGGACCGACAAUCAUCUUUUGCUAUGGGAUCUAACAGCACUUGGCUUAAUUGAAUGAUGAUUGAUGUAGGUGUUCAUUCAGUUAUUUCUUUGAUUCUUGC